UUACGGUCAGAUCACGAUGAAACACCGGUUCCCUCAUUAUCACCGAAGUUAAGCAACGUCAAUCUUGCGCAGUAUCUCGAUCGGUAACUGCUUGGGAAUACCAGGUGCUGUAA